AAGACUGGGAUAACUUCGGGAAACCGAAGCUAAUACCGGAUAGGAUCUUCUCCUUCAUGGGAGAUGAUUGAAAGAUGGUUUCGGCUAUCACUUACAGAUGGGCCCGCGGUGCAUUAAGCUAGUUGGAUGAGGUAACGGCUCACUCAAGGCAACGAUGCAUAGCCGACCUGAGAGGGUGAUCGGCCACACUGGGACUGAGACACGGCCCAGACUCCUACGGGAGGCAGCGGUAGGGAAUCUUCCGCAAUGGACGAAAGUCUGACGGAGCAACGCCGCGUGAGUGAUGAAGGCUUUCGGGUCGUAAAACUCUGUUGUUAGGGAAGAACAAGUACAAGAGUAACUGCUUGUACCUUGACGGUACCUAACCAGAAAGCCACGGCAUAACUACGUGCCAGAGCCGCGUAAUACGUAGGUGGCAAGCGUUAUCCGGAAUUAUUGGGGUAAAGCGCGCGCAGGCGGUUUCUUAAGUCUGAUGUGAAAGCCCACGGCUCAACCGUGGAGGGUCAUUGGAAACUGGGGAACUUGAGUGCAGAAGAGAAAAGCGGAAUUCCACGUGUAGCGGUGAAAUGCGUAGAGAUGUGGAGGAACACCAGUGGCGAAGGCGGCUUUUUGGUCUGUAACUGACGCUGAGGCGCGAAAGCGGUGGGGAGCAAACAGGAUUAGAUACCCUGGUAGUCCACCGCCGUAAACGAUGAGUGCUAAGUGUUAGAGGGUUUCCGCCCUUUAGU
rnacentral:rRNA from 1 species